CGGACCUACGGGAGGCAGCAGUGGGGAACAUUGCACAAUGGGGGAAACCCUGAUGCAGCGACGCCGCGUGAGUGAAGAAGCGUUUCGGCGCGUAAAGCUCUGUCAGCGGGGAAGAAACACGGUUCGCGAGAGCCGCGGACGGUACCCGACCAAGAAGCCCCGGCUAACUACGUGCCAGCAGCCGCGGUAAUACGUAGGGGGCAAGCGUUAUCCGGAUUCACUGGGUGUAAAGGGAGCGUAGACUGCGAGACAAGUCUGGAGUGAAAGGCCGGGGCCCAACCCCGGGACCGCUCU
rnacentral:rRNA from 1 species